rnacentral:rRNA from 1 species
GGCUUCGGCCGAUGAGUAAAGUGGCGCACGGGUGAGUAACGCGUGGAUAAUCUGCCCUGGAGUGUGGAAUAACGCACCGAAAGGUGCGCUAAUACCGCAUUAUGCUGAGUGACUACUGUUGCUUAGCCAAAGAAGGCCUCUGUUUACAAGCUUUUGCUCUAGGAUGAGUCCGCGUACCAUUAGCUAGUUGGUAGGGUAAUGGCCUACCAAGGCGACGAUGGUUAGCUGGUCUGAGAGGAUGAUCAGCCACACUGGAACUGAGACACGGUCCAGACUCCUACGGGAGGCAGCAGUGAGGAAUAUUGCGCAAUGGGGGAAACCCUGACGCAGCAACGCCGCGUGAGUGAGGAAGGUUUUCGGACCGUAAAGCUCUGUCGAGCGGGAAGAAGUGCAUGGUGGCUAAUAUCCGUCGUGUUUGACGGUACCGCUAAAGGAAGCACCGGCUAACUCCGUGCCAGCAGCCGCGGUAAUACGGGGGGUGCAAGCGUUGUUCGGAAUUAUUGGGCGUAAAGAGCGUGUAGGCGGCUGGAUAAGUCAGAUGUGAAAGCCCUG